rnacentral:rRNA from 1 species
UCAAAAACAUAGCUUCUUGAACAUAUAAGAAGUAAAGCCUGCCCAGUGGAACAUCUAAACGGCCGCGGUAUCUUGACCGUGCAAAGGUAGCAUAAUCAUUUGUCUUUUAAAUGGAGACUAGUAUGAACGGCACCACAUUCUCUCACUGUCUUUUCUCCCUUAUUUUUAAACUUCUAUUAACGUGAAGAAGCGUUAAUCACAACGAAAGACGAGAAGACCCUGUCGAGCUUCAGCUUUCAUAGGAAAUAUUCCCCCCUAAAAGGAAAAACAAAAAUCCUAAACAAAGCUUUGGUUGGGGCAACCAUGGAGAACACCAAUCCUCCAGCCAUAAAUAAUGAAACCCAAUUCUUUUUAUAAUUUUCCCUCAUGAACCAAAAACUUGGCAAACGGAAAUAGUUACCGCAGGGAUAACAGCGUUAUCUUCUCUAAGAGCUCUCAUUGACGAGAAGGAUUGCGACCUCGAUGUUGGAUUGGGACUACCAAAGGGUGUAGCAGCUCUUAAAGGUCGGACUGUUCGUCCACUAAUUUCCCACGUGAUCUGAG